rnacentral:rRNA from 1 species
GACGAACGCUGGCGGCGUGCCUAAUACAUGCAAGUCGAACGCUUCUUUUUCCACCGGAGCUUGCUCCACCGGAAAAAGAGGAGUGGCGAACGGGUGAGUAACACGUGGGUAACCUGCCCAUCAGAAGGGGAUAACACUUGGAAACAGGUGCUAAUACCGUAUAACAAUCAAAACCGCAUGGUCUUGAUUUGAAAGGCGCUUUCGGGUGUCGCUGAUGGAUGGACCCGCGGUGCAUUAGCUAGUUGGUGAGGUAACGGCUCACCAAGGCCACGAUGCAUAGCCGACCUGAGAGGGUGAUCGGCCACAUUGGGACUGAGACACGGCCCAAACUCCUACGGGAGGCAGCAGUAGGGAAUCUUCGGCAAUGGACGAAAGUCUGACCGAGCAACGCCGCGUGAGUGAAGAAGGUUUUCGGAUCGUAAAACUCUGUUGUUAGAGAAGAACAAGGAUGAGAGUAACUGUUCAUCCCUUGACGGUAUCUAACCAGAAAGCCACGGCUAACUACGUGCCAGCAGCCGCGGUAAUACGUGGGUGGCAAGCGUUGUCCGGAUUUAUUGGGCGUAAAGCGAGCGCAGGCGGUUUCUUAAGUCUGAUGUGAAAGCCCCCGGCUCAACCGGGGAGGGUCAUUGGAAACUGGGAGACUUGAGUGCAGAAGAGGAGAGUGGAAUUCCAUGUGUAGCGGUGAAAUGCGUAGAUAUAUGGAGGAACACCAGUGGCGAAGGCGGCUCUCUGGUCUGUAACUGACGCUGAGGCUCGAAAGCGUGGGGAGCAAACAGG